rnacentral:misc_RNA from 1 species
ACAAACUUGGUCAUUUAGAGGAAGUAAAAGUCGUAACAAGGUCUCCGUAGGUGAACCUGCGGAGGGAUCAUUACCGAGCAAGGGCUCCGGCCCGACCUCCAACCCUUUGAAUGUACGAACCGAUGUUUCCUCGGGGGCGACCCGGCCGUCACGACGGCGUCGGGGCCCCCGGCGGACCCCUUCUCAAAACCCUGCGUCCGCGCGUCUGAGCUUUGAAUAAAAUCAAUCAAAACUUUUAACAACGGAUCUCUUGGUUUUGGCAUCGAUGAAGAACGCAGC